rnacentral:rRNA from 1 species
GACGGAGGGUGCAAGCGUUGUUCGGAUUGACUGGGCGUAAAGGGCGUGUAGGCGGUCGGCCAAGUCUGAUGUGAAAGCCCGGGGCUUAGCUCCGGAAGUGCGUCGGAAACUAGUCGGCUGGAGCGCGAUAGAGGAGGGUGGAAUUCCUGGUGUAGCGGUGAAAUUCGUAGAUAUUCGCAAGAACACCAGCGGCGAAGGCGGCUUUCUGGUCUGUAACUGACGCUGAGGCGCGAAAGCGUGGGGAGCAAACAGG